UACAGAGGUCUCAAGCGUUGUUCGGAUUCAUUGGGCGUAAAGGGUGCGUAGGUGGCGGGGUAAGUCGGGUGUGAAAGCCCCGGGCUCAACCUGGGAAUUGCAUUCGAGACUGAAUAGCUAGGGUGCGGUAGAGGGAAGCGGAAUUUCCGGUGUAGCGGUGAAAUGCGUAGAGGUGCGGAGGAACACCGAUGGCGAAGGCAGCCCCCUGGGCUGACACUGACGCUCAGGCACGAAAGCGUGGGGAGCAAACAGG
rnacentral:rRNA from 1 species